UCACUGACUGCCCCAAAAUGGCAGACUGUCCCAUGGUUUAUCACAAAAUGGUGGACUGCCCCCAUGACCUGUCUCAAAAUGGUGGUGACCGACUUGUGGCCUGACACAAAAUGGUGGAGUGGGCUCAUGGGCUGUCACAAAAUGGUGGACUGACCCCACACCCUUACCCAAAAUGGCGGACAGACCUCCCCCCCACCCAUGCCCUUACCCAAAAUGGCAGUAACCAACCCCACGGCCUGUCACAAAAUGGUUGAAUGACCCAUAGCCUUCCCUAAAAUGAGCAGGCUGAGAAGUGUAGUUGUGUAUUAGACCUGUUGAAGCUGGAAGACACGUCUUUACAUAAUCAGGAAAGAACAAGGAGCCAUCAUGAUCCAAAAGAGCUUCCUGUCCUCUUCUCCCCCAAAGGAAGAGACAAAAAAUAUCACUGAGGUGCUGAAAAGGAGUUCAGAGUUGAAAAGGCUGCUGACAACCUCUCAUGGUGCUCUGUUUCAGACACUGUGAUUUCAAGAGGAAGAAAAGUGGGUCCUAAACGCUACUGAUAGCUGAAAAUUUGGAGAUGAAGAACACUUCAG